rnacentral:rRNA from 1 species
CAGUCGCCGCGGUAAUACGGAGGGUGCAAGCGUUAUCCGGAUUUAUUGGGUUUAAAGGGUCCGUAGGCGGAUCUGUAAGUCAGUGGUGAAAUCUCACAGCUUAACUGUGAAACUGCCAUUGAUACUGCAGGUCUUGAGUAAAUUUGAAGUGGCUGGAAUAAGUAGUGUAGCGGUGAAAUGCAUAGAUAUUACUUAGAACACCAAUUGCGAAGGCAGGUCACUAAGAUUUAACUGACGCUGUUGGACGAAAGCGUGGGGAGCGAACAGGAUUAGAUACCCCAGUAGUCCCUGUCUCUUAUAC